AUUGAACGCUGGCGGCAGGCCUAACACAUGCAAGUCGAACGAGUGGCGGACGGGUGAGUAAUGUCUGGGAAACUGCCUGAUGGAGGGGGAUAACUACUGGAAACGGUAGCUAAUACCGCAUACCAUCGGAUGUGCCCAGAUGGGAUUAGCUAGUAGGUGGGGUAAAGGCUCACCUAGGCGACGAUCCCUAGCUGGUCUGAGAGGAUGACCAGCGACACUAGGACUGAGACACGGUCCAGACUCCUACGAGAGGCAGCAGUGGGGAAUAUUGGACAAUGGGCACAAGCCUGAUGCAGCCAUGGCGCGGGUAUGAAGAAGGCCUUCGGGUUGUAGAGUACUUUCGGAGGGGAGGCGUUACCCGCAGAGGAAGCACCGGCUAACUCCGGGCCAGCAGCCGCGGUAAUAC
rnacentral:rRNA from 1 species